rnacentral:rRNA from 1 species
GACGAACGCUGGCGGCAGGCUUAACACAUGCAAGUCGAACGCACCGCAAGGUGAGUAGCAGACGGGUGAGUAACGCGUGGGAACGUACACUUCGGUUCGGAAUAGCUCCGGGAAACUGGAAUUAAAACCGGAUACGCCCUUAGGGGGAAAGAUUUAUCGCCGAAGGAUCGGCCCGCGUCAGAUUAGGUAGUUGGUAGGGUAACGGCCUACCAAGCCGAUGAUCUGUAGCUGGUCUGAGAGGAUGANCAGCCACACUGGGACUGAGACACGGCCCAGACUCCUACGGGAGGCAGCAGUGGGGAAUAUUGGACAAUGGGCGCAAGCCUGAUCCAGCCAUGCCGCGUGGAUGAAGAAGGCCCUAGGGUUGUAAA